rnacentral:lncRNA from 1 species
UUUAGUGCAUUAUAUUUAGAACUACAUCAAACCAAAUAGCUGCUAAAUGUGUAUAUCGUUUGUGUUGAGAUAUAAAUAUUAAAAACACUAUUCUCUGAAACUUAAUUUUUUAGAAAACAACGGUUAUUUUAUAUAAUUUAACAUGAUAUCAAAGUAGGAGAUCCUAAAUUUGAAUUCUAUUAGACUUUUAGUCCUAUUUAAUUUUCUCCCGUUUAUAUUAUUUUGGGAGUUUAAGCUUUCAAAGAAUAAAGAUUGUUCCAUAUAAUUUAAUAAUUUACUUCUCCAUG